rnacentral:rRNA from 1 species
GAUGAACGCUGGCGGCGUGCCUAAUACAUGCAAGUCGAGCGAACAGACGAGGAGCUUGCUCCUCUGACGUUAGCGGCGGACGGGUGAGUAACACGUGGAUAACCUACCUAUAAGACUGGGAUAACUUCGGGAAACCGGAGCUAAUACCGGAUAAUAUAUUGAACCGCAUGGUUCAAUAGUGAAAGACGGUUUUGCUGUCACUUAUAGAUGGAUCCGCGCCGCAUUAGCUAGUUGGUAAGGUAACGGCUUACCAAGGCAACGAUGCGUAGCCGACCUGAGAGGGUGAUCGGCCACACUGGAACUGAGACGCGGUCCAGACUCCUACGGGAGGCAGCAGUAGGGAAUCUUCCGCAAUGGGCGAAAGCCUGACGGAGCAACGCCGCGUGAGUGAUGAAGGUCUUCGGAUCGUAAAACUCUGUUAUUAGUGAAGAACAAAUGUGUAAGCAACUAUGCACGUCUUGACGGUACCUAAUCAGAAAGCCACGGCUAACUACGUG